AACGCGAAGAACCUUACCUGGGCUCGAAAUGCAGUGGACCGGGGUGGAAACAUCCCUUCCCCUUAAAAGGCUGCUGCAUAGGUGCUGCAUGGCUGUCGUCAGCUCGUGUCGUGAGAUGUUGGGUUAAGUCCCGCAACGAGCGCAACCCUUAUCCCUAGUUGCCAUCGGGUCAAGCCGGGCACUCUAGUGAAACUGCCUGGGAUAACCAGGAGGAAGGUGGGGAUGACGUCAAGUCCUCAUGGCCUUUAUGUCCAGGGCUACACACGUGCUACAAUGGUCGGUACAAACCGUCGCAAACCCGUGAGGGGGAGCUAAUCGGAAAAAGCCGACCUCAGUUCGGAUUGGAGUCUGCAACUCGACUCCAUGAAGCUGGAAUCGCUAGUAAUCGCGGAUCAGAACGCCGCGGUGAAUACGUUCCCGGGCCUUGUA
rnacentral:rRNA from 1 species